AGCGCGUCACAUACGGAGCGGCAGACGGGAGAGUAACCGUGGGAACGUGCCCUUUGGUUCGGAACACCCAGGGAAACUUGGGCUAAUACCGGAUAAGCCCUUACGGGGAAAGAUUUAUCGCCGAAGGAUCGGCCCGCGUAUGAUUAGCUAGUUGGUGGGGUAAUGGCCCACCAAGGCGACGAUCAGUAACUGGUCUGAGAGGAUGAUCAGCCUCACUGGGACUGAGACACGGCCCAGACUCCUACGGGAGGCAGCAGUGGGGAAUAUUGGACAAUGGGCGCAAGCCUGAUCCAGCCAUGCCGCGUGGGUGAUGAAGGCCCUAGGGUUGUAAAGCCCUUUCGGCGGGGAAGAUAAUGACGGUACCCGCAGAAGAAGCCCCGGCUAACUUCGUGCCAGCAGCCGCGGUAAU
rnacentral:rRNA from 1 species